rnacentral:lncRNA from 1 species
GGGAGGCACCUGCAUCUGGGGCGCGGCGAAUCCUCGCGUGCGCCAGGCCGCCUGGGGUAGUCGCCGAGACUGCGCCGGCCAGCGGGGCCGAAACCUAAUCAGGAGCUGAGCUUUGAUGGCGGCUUCUGGAGGGACAAAGAAGGCGCAGAGCGGUGGGAGGAGGCUGCGAGAACCUAGCUCCCGCCCCAGCCGACGUGCGAGACAAAGGCCCCGGCGCGGGGCUCUUCGGAAGGCCGGGAGGUUCCUGUGACAAUGCGAGUCUGCGCCCCACGCUCCCGCACCGUGAUGCCGAGGCCAAAUGGCUAGAGUGGGCCCAGGCAUCAGCAUUUCUGUUUGGCAGCCGGGCAGUUGUGGUGCACGUUUUGAGGAACUACUAAAGCCUGCCUGUGAUGAAAAAGGCAAAAGCUGACUUCACCAAAAUUACUCCCAGGGAGACUUCUGCAUUUGGCUGGAAGGACAUUUGAGUAAACCGCUGAGGCUGGUGGUUGAAACAUAAUCCUCUAAGGGAGAUCGGUUCCGAUACCCUGAGUUAGGGACGCUUGCCUGGGCAGAGCUAAGGGGAGAAUGAUCAAAAGCCAAGCUCUGUCCCCGUCAGCACGUCACCCUCCCUCACUGUAAUCCCUGACUGUUUUCUCUAAAUGAAGAAUUAUUUAGAGAAUAUAAAUUAGAAGGGCCGCCACGUCAGAAUUGCCUGAGUGGGAGCAGUCUUUCCAGCCUCGAAAAAUGUUUAAACAAUAUGCAGAUGACCUAGCACAAAUAAAGAAUGCUAGCAACCGCUGUUAUGUGUGAGCGGUGGAAUUGGGAGGGCUCUUCCCCCAAUCUUCAUCAAACAGAGAACUCAACUGUUAGGCAGAAGGGAGGAAUGUACUGUUGAUAUGGACAGACUCCAAGAAGGGGAGGGACUGCUGGGACUACUAGAACGAGAAUGCCUCUGCCCCUAUGGCUCAGCUCUGCAACUCUCUCUGCACAUUGGCUUCAUGCUGUUAGACCAGCUUCCUCCAUAUGUCUGGAAACAAGGCCACUGACAGCUCCCAACAUUUCAUCUUCUGCCUCAUCAUCAGACAGGCGAGUGCAGUGGCAUAAUCUCGGCUCACUGCAACCUUUGCCUCCUGGGUUCAAGCAAAAACUGGAAUGAUGCAGCUUCAGGCCAAGGAAUGCUGGCAGCCACCAGAAGCUGAAGGACACAAGGAAUGGAUUCUCAGAGCCUCGGCAGGAAAUGUGGCCCUGCCAACACCUUGAUUUCAGACUUCUCAACUCCAGUACUGGGAGGGAAUAAAUUUCUGUUGUUUUAAGCCUCCCAGUUUGUGAUAAUUUGCUACAGCAGCCACAGGAAGCAAAUAAGGAGGGCCUAUUUGGAGGAGGAUGCAAACCCAGCAGUGGGUGAUGAACUAUUCUUACUUACAGCUACCUUAUUCAUUACUAGUCUAGACUUAAGCAUUGACUUCAUCACUGAAAAGGCUGCAGCUGAGCCUAGAGUUUCAGGUUCCUGUGCUGCAUAUGGCUACAGUGAUUCUUAGGUCAGCUCCCUAGGAUGCAGUUGAGUCUCUCUCUAACUGAUGAGUCUCUUUAAAUAUACAGUUGGGGCUGGGUGCGGUGGCUCACACCUCUAAUCCUAGCACUUUUGGAGGUUGAGGAGGGAGGAUCACUGGAACCCAGGAGUUCAAGACCAGCCUUGCCAACAUAGUGAAACCCAUCUCUACUAAAAAAAUACAAAAAUUAGCCGGGCAUGGUGGCGCACACCUGUAAUCCCAGCUACUCGAGAGGCUGAGGUGGGAGAAUCACUUGAACCUGAGAGGCAGAGGCUGCAGUGAGCCAACAUCGUGCCACUACACUCCAGCCUGGGCAACAGAGUGAGACUCUGUCUCAAAACUAUGUAAAUAAAUAAAUAAAUCUACAGCGGGCCCUCCCUGUUCUUGGGUUCUG